UCCAAGUCAGAUCUUUUAUUUCUACUGGA
rnacentral:piRNA from 1 species